rnacentral:rRNA from 1 species
CCUACGGGAGGCAGCAGUAGGGAAUAUUGCUCAAUGGGGGAAACCCUGAAGCAGCAACGCCGCGUGGAGGAUGAAGGUUUUCGGAUUGUAAACUCCUUUUGUUAGAGAAGAUAAUGACGGUAUCUAACGAAUAAGCACCGGCUAACUCCGUGCCAGCAGCCGCGGUAAUACGGAGGGUGCAAGCGUUACUCGGAAUCACUGGGCGUAAAGAGCGCGGAGGCGGGAUAGCAAGUCAGAUGUGAAAUCCUAGGGCUUAACCAUAGAACUGCAUUUGAAACUGUUCUUCUAGAGUAUGGGAGAGGUAGGUGGAAUUCUUGGUGUAGGGGUAAAAUCCGUAGAGAUCAAGAGGAAUACUCAUUGCGAAGGCGACCUGCUAGAACAUAACUGACGCUGAGGCGCGAAAGCGUGGGGAGCAAACAGGAUUAGAUACCCCUGUAGUC